UACGGAGGGAGCUAGCGUUGUUCGGAAUUACUGGGCGUAAAGCGCACGUAGGCGGCUUUGUAAGUUAGAGGUGAAAGCCCGGGGCUCAACCCCGGAAUUGCCUUUAAGACUGCAUCGCUUGAAUCCGGGAGAGGUGAGUGGAAUUCCGAGUGUAGAGGUGAAAUUCGUAGAUAUUCGGAAGAACACCAGUGGGCGAAGGCGGCUCACUGGACCGGUAUUGACGCUGAGGUGACGAAAGCGUGGGGAGCAAACAGG
rnacentral:rRNA from 1 species